ACGCACGCUGGCGGCGUGCUUAACACAUGCAAGUCGAACGGUGAAGCGCCUUCCUUUUUGGUGGGUGUGGAUGAGUGGCGAACGGGUGAGUAACACGUGAGUAACCUGCCCCCUUCUUCUGGAUAACCGCAUGAAAGUGUGGCUAAUACGGGAUAUUCUGGGUCUGUCGCAUGAUGGGUCUGGGAAAGAUAUUGUUUCGGUGGGGGAUGGGCUCGCGGCCUAUCAGCUUGUUGGUGGGGUGAUGGCCUACCAAGGCGGUGACGGGUAGCCGGCCCGAGAGGGUGGACGGUCACACUGGGACUGAGACACGGCCCAGACUCCUACGGGAGGCAGCAGUGGGGAAUAUUGCACAAUGGGCGCAAGCCUGAUGCAGCGACGCCGCGUGAGGGAUGGAGGCCUUCGGGUUGUGAACCUCUUUCGCCAGUGAAGCAGGCCUGCCUCGUUUGUGGGUGGGUUGACGGUAGCUGGAUAAGAAGCGCCGGCUAACUACGUG
rnacentral:rRNA from 1 species